AUGCACAUUGGGCAUUACAGGGGAUUCAGAUUUGAGGCCUACUGGGCAAGUCUUAAUGGUUUCAAAGAUGUGGUCCAAAAGGCUUGGUGCAAGCCUGUUUUUUCAACUGACGCUGUCAAGAGUCCGCAUAUCAAGCUAUCUAGGACCACAAGAGUACUGAAGCAAUGGAGUAACAGUCAUGGACAAGAGCAGGGGUUUAAAGAGAAGCUUGCAACAGAGGUGAUUUUCCAAUUGAAUCUUGCUCAGGAGGACAGGGAGUUGACUCAUGUUGAAAGAGCAAUUCGCACCACCCUCAAAAAACAGAUUGCACGGGUUUGCAGCAAUUGA
rnacentral:rRNA from 1 species